GCGCCUGUACUUGUGGGAUGUAUUGACGGUUUGCGCAAUAUAUUGAAGAAGACUACAGACUUCCACAAAUAUUACGCACGUUCAAUAUUUGUACCUUAGUACUACGCAAUACUCGUCACUUCCUUCGGAGGUCGUAAUUUUCGGACUUGUAAACAACUGAAACGGCGACACUAUACGAAUAUGAAUAAAUCGGGAAAGACAGAUGAAAGGAUUCAUCUGUUGAAAUGCAUUCAGGUUUAUAGAUCGCUUCCAGCAUUAUGGAAAGUGAAAUCCGUAGAAUAUAAGAACAAAGACAUUAAAAAUGAGUCCUACAAUAUCCUGCUGAAAGUUUUUCAAGAAAGGUACCCAUCAGCUACGAAGGAGGAUUUAAAAAGGAAAUUUAAUUCGCUCCGAACAAAUUUUCGGAAGGAACUGAGAAAGGUAAAUGAUAGACAAUCAGUAAGUGGACUGGAAGAUACAUGCCAAAGCACCAUGUGGUACUUUGAAGAAAUGAAGUUUCUAAUUGAUCAGGAAUCGCCAGACACGUCGUUCUCUACAAUACCAGAUGAAAAUGGAGAAUACUGCAUCAUAACAGAUUCAGAAACGUCUGAAGCAGAGAUGCUCAAGAAGAAUCCUCCAAUGAAGAAAAGGCAGCCAGCACUGGCUACAAAUGAUUUGCUAGAACUUGCAUGCAAGCGACUGCGGGAACGAGUGUCUGAUGAGGACCACAUCGGCAUAACGUGGGCUCGUGAACUCCAGAAAAUGGACCCAAUGCAGCAAACCUUUGCAAAGAAGUUUAUCAGUGACAUUUUAUUUGAAGGACUAAUGGGCACACUGCACAGAAACUCUGUGGUUAUAAAUGGCCCAGCAACAUCUUCUGCAAAUAAGUCUCCAAUCACAAAUGUGUCAAGUGCUUCAACUGCCUCAAGCAGUUCACACACUCUGCAAUAAGGCAUCACUCUACAUUUUGCAAAUAUGGCUGAGUUUUCCUAUUGCCAUUUGGUCAUGAAUGGAGAUCUAGGUGAGUCUCUCUCAGGGACCAAUACAGGAAGAUAAUCAACAAAAAGUGGACAGAUAUUAACCAAUAAUGGCAGUGGAAGUGUGGAAACAUCGAGAGCUGACUAAGGCUGUGUUUCUGAAAAAGGGAGACAAUAACAAGCGCUCCCUCACUAACUACAGACAAGGAAAUAGUGUGUAGAAGGCAAUGAACAAUCAAAGGCAUCAUUGCGUGCCACCAUUAGCUUCAAAGUAGAAGACUUAACAACUCCAAGUGGCUCAGUCCGUAAGUGAAAGAGGGUGUCAAUAUCGAACUCUUCUGGCUUAGUUAAAGAACUGUUGCAUUAGGGAACACAGUGCCCAAUUACAUUGUUUUUCAUGAACUUGGUAGAUAUAGUGAGAACCCUGGCACCACAUGGAUGGGGAAUUAUCAGGAAUGAAGUAUAUAAAGCAAGUCAGUAGGCUAGAAAAUGAAGAGGCAGAUCCUAUAAAUUACAUAUCAGGAUCCAACUCUUAAUCAUCAUAAUGUAUUUUUUUUAAAAUAAGAAGUGACCUCAAAUGGGAGCUCUGAUU
rnacentral:misc_RNA from 1 species